CUGCUGCCUUCCGUAGGAGUCUGGUCCGUGUCUCAGUACCAGUGUGGGGGACCUUCCUCUCAGAACCCCUACGCAUCGUCGGUUAGGUGGGCCGUUACCCCGCCUACUGCCUAAUGCGCCGCAUGCCAUCCCUGUCCGGCCGAAGCCUUUCCUGCCUCCGGGAUGCCCCGGUGGCAUGUACGCGGGUUUAGCCCGCCUUUCGGCGGGUUGUCCCCCUGACAGGGGCAGGUUGCAUACGUGUUACUCACCCGUGCGCCGGUCGCCGGCGGAGAAAG
rnacentral:rRNA from 1 species